rnacentral:rRNA from 1 species
GUGGGGAAUCUUGCGCAAUGGGCGAAAGCCUGACGCAGCCAUGCCGCGUGAAUGAUGAAGGUCUUAGGAUUGUAAAAUUCUUUCACCGGGGACGAUAAUGACGGUACCCGGAGAAGAAGCUCCGGCUAACUUCGUGCCAGCAGCCGCGGUAAUACGAAGGGGGCUAGCGUUGCUCGGAAUUACUGGGCGUAAAGGGCGCGUAGGCGGACAGCUUAGUCAGAGGUGAAAGCCCAGGGCUCAACAUUGGAAUUGCCUUUGAUACUGGCUGUCUUGAGUUUGGGAGAGGUGAGUGGAACUCCGAGUGUAGAGGUGAAAUUCGUAGAUAUUCGGAAGAACACCAGUGGCGAAGGCGACUCACUGGCCCAAUACUGACGCUGAGGCGCGAAAGCGUGGGGAGCAAACAGGAUUAGAAGCCCGAGUAGUCC